UGAAUACGAGAUGCUACGGCGUCGAAGCAGUCUAUGUCAUACUUCCAAGAAAAGCUUGCACUGUCAUAAACAAAUAAUGCCUGUACCAUAACCGACACAGGUGGGUAGGUAGAGUAUACUAAGGGGCGCGAGAUAACUCUCUCUAAGGAACUCGGCAAAAUGACUCCGUAACUUCGGGAGAAGGAGUGCCUUAUUUAUAAGGUUGCAAUAACAAGAUCCAAGCAACUGUUUACCAAAAACACAGGUCUCCGCUAAGUCGUAAGACGAUGUAUGGGGGCUGACGCCUGCCCAGUGCCAGAAGGUUAAAGAAGUUGGUUAGCAUCCGCGAAGCUGAUAACUGAAGCCCUGGUGAACGGCGGCCGUAACAAUAACGGUCCUAAGGUAGCGAAAUUCCUUGUCGGGUAAGUUCCGACCCGCACGAAAGGCGUAAUGAUUUGGAUACUGUCUCGGAGAGGGGCUCGGUGAAAUAGACUUGUCUGUGAAGAUGCGGACUACCUGCACCAGGACAGAAAGACCCUAUGAAGCUUUACUGUAACCUGAAAUUGAAAUUGGACUUUACUUGCGCAGUAUAGGUGGGAGGCGUUGAGAAUAUUCUUGCGGGAUUAUUGGAGCCAUCAGUGAGAUACCACUCUUGUAAUGUUAGAUUUCUAACUUUGUAUCAUUAUCUGGUCAAAGAACAGUUUCAGGCGGGCAGUUUGACUGGGGCGGUCGCCUCCUAAACGGUAACGGAGGCGCACAAAGGUUUCCUCUGAACGGGUAGAAAUCGUAUCUAGAGUGUAAAGGCAUAAGGAAGCUUGACUGUGAGACCUACAAGUCGAGCAGGGACGAAAGUCGGUCUUAGUGAUCUGACGGUGCUGAGUGGAAAGGCCGUCACUCAACGGAUAAAAGUUACUCUAGGAUAACAGGCUGGUCUCCCCCAAGAGUUCACAUCGACGGGGAGGUUUGGCACCUCGAUGUCGGCUCAUCGCAUCCUGGGGCGGUAGUACGUCCCAAGGGUUGGGCUGUUCGCCCAUGAAAGCGGUACGCGAGCUGGGUUCAGAACGUCGUGAGACAGUUCGGUCCAUAUCCGGUGUAGGCGUUAGAAUAUUGAGAGGAGCCUUCUUUAGUACGAGAGGACCGAGAAGGACAUACCUCUGGUGUACCAGUUAUCGUGCCAACGGUAAACGCUGGGUAGCUAUGUGUGGAGUGGAUAACCGCUGAAAGCAUCUAAGUGGGAAGCCCUCCUCAAGAUAAG
rnacentral:rRNA from 1 species